AAAAAUUCUUGGCUGCAUAUGCUCACACAGUCCAUCUAAAAUCACUGGCGUGGUGUCAGAAGACCUUGUCUUAACCUAGCAGCAAGGCAAGGUUGCAGCUGAGUGAUGCUUCUCCUUCCUGAGCAUGUUUUUCUGUUCUGUUGCAGUGAAUAAGCCACUGAAGUCAGACAGUCUGGAGCUAAUGAGAAGCAACUGGAAAGCAAUAUGAUUUCUCAAGAAAUGGCGACUUACAUCACCAUCUUUCUCCAGCUGACUGCACCACUAAACUCCUGGUCAUCUUUGGCGCAGCAGGAAGAGUCAAAGUCAGAAUGGUGACAAUCAACUGUGACAGCUCUGCAGCUUGUACUACUGGCGAGAGCAAUAGGAGAACUAAAGAUAUCUUCCAUCUCAUCAGUAGAUGCAGGCAAGACGUUGCUCAGAGCCAUCAGCAAGAUGCAAGUGAGCUGACAGUCAGACUCUUGUACAAGAUUUUCAUGCCUUACAAGGUGCGUAUAUUACUUUAACACAUUUUUUUUUUUAUCUUCUCCCUUUUUUUCUUUCGGUUUCAUAUUUGAUAAUUCUGAUCCCUGAGACUUGUUGAAAAUCAUCUGCUAAUGAUAUUAAGCGAUUCUUACAUUAUACAGUGGUCCUGGUCUUUGUUUUACUUGUACAGAUACAUUAUUGUCUGUCCCUCCAGCAUGCAAUGCUGGGAGAUGUUAUGCAUAUCAGCUGCAUCAUUCGCAAGUUCAUCCUAAUGAAAUUUGGCUAUAGUGGUGAAAGUUCCUUCAGAUUAAAUGAAUAUACUACAUGUUUUUGAUGGUUCAGAUGGCAACCUAACAUCUCUCAUGGCUUAAGAUGGUAUGCACCAUUAGAUUUACAAAGUAUGAAAGCAUAGCAUAUGCUAGCAGAAGUCCCUCAGACUUCCAUGUUAUUUUUCUACUUUCCUUGUAAUGCAAACAAGCAUAAGCCUUGAAAGAUCAGUGAUGCAUAGGUAUGAUUUGGCAGCUACUUAAACAAAACCAAAACUCUGAUGGCAUUUUGCUCUUAAAAGAAAAUCCUGGUGUAUCUUGUUUUGAGGGAAUGGAAGGAAUUGUAAAUGAAAAAGUUUGGACACCAGUGCCUGGCAUUCGUGCAACAUUCUGAGAAGGAGCUGAAAGGCUCUCGAGUGCUUUUCCCUUUUAGUGUCUCUUCAUACUCUUUUUUGGUCUUUCCUUUCUGAUGUGAAAUGUUUGUCUAAUUCAGUAUCCCAAAUUACAUUUUAUAAGUGAAGUUCUUCUAAGAGCCAGUCACCAGGAAGCAUCCACUUUAAUUCAGAGCUGGAAUAUGAAAUCAUACAGUUAGAACAGUACAACGGUAAGUCUUUAAUUUAAUGUAUAAUCCUUGCAAAUCUUCUAGGGCCCAGAGCUCACAAGUUUGUUAUUGUGACUAUCACAAAGAAUAAUGUGGAAAAAGAAGUACACUAUUGUGUGGGAAUAUUCUCAAGGCAACAGGGUCCACAUGUAGUAGAGUUCUAUGUUUGAUGUGGCUCGGUUUAGUUCUUUUACUGUAGUACUUUGCUUAUCUACCACUGCUCCCAUUCCCUGUUUAAUAUUAAUCUCCAGUAUUUGACUGUGAGAAAAUACUAAAGCUCUGAUCAAAAAAUGUUUUUUUUUUUAAUCCAGUAAAAUUGUUUCUUUUGAGUCAUAAAACAGUUCUAAAUGUUGAUUUUCCCAUUAUUACCUGUUUACUUAAUUUCUCAGUAACUCACCAAAAGCCCCGUCAACUGUAGAUGCUGUGUUUCACCAUCACUCUUGGGCCCAGGCUGAGACCAGAGAACACGUCCUGCUGUCAACUGUCCAUGGUUUUGCUUGCUUUGUGUUUGACUCUGGCUUGGAGCUCAGGCUCCAGCUCAUCUCAGCACUGUCCUUUCCAAAGGCAGCUUGGAGCAGCAGGCUGCAGGCUGGCCAAGACAUGGCAGCUUCCACAGUUAUCUCACCUUAGCCAAAAACAGCACCAGAUUGUGAAUUGUCCUGCUAUGCUCCACCAGUGAAAAGGGCUAAUUUUUUUUGUGGAUAUGUUAUGGCUGUGGGCAAGAUGAGGGAAGAACACACUGUCUCAGCAAGCAGACAGCAAUUAAAGACUCUUCCUCUCAGAAAUACAGCGACAGAGAAACACUGGUAAAAUUCAGAUUUAGUCUGGACUCAAUUGCUCUGUCUAUGGCUGCUCCUAUGGGUAUUACAGUUCUGGAAAUACCAGGUUCCCAUUCUGGAGCAGCAGAGCACCAAGGUCUAAUGGAGCUGGCAGGAGUCAUUUCUGUGCUUGAGUACACACUGGUCUGCCCCCUUCACUCCUUGCCCUCAUGGAUUUGAACUGCCUUCAUAAAGAGAAAUGUGCUUUGUUUUUAAUGGUUAUAUGUGACAAUUACAAUUUCUCUUCUUUUAUCAAAAAUACAUCAUUAUUGUCAAGAAUGGGUCAUUUUAUUCACAGCAUUAUAGCUUAAAUAAAAUGUAAAGUCACUAAAAAACACUGAAGCCCUUAUAAGUACCCUUAUUCUAUUAAGCAAAUUGGAAAUAUUAGCAUUUACUGGUUCUCCAAAGGGCUAUUGCGUUCAUGAACAAGAAUCUUCAUCUUAAUAUUUCUCUUCCCACUAAAUUAAAAAUGACAGUAGAUGCAGAGCAUGUAUUGCUACAGACUGUAGCUCUAUGGAAAACUUAGCAUGAUUUCAGAGCUGCAAGCUUAUCUGCUUAAGGACAUUACUAAGAAACCAGAUGGAGGAUAAUUUCCCAAAGCUAACCAUCUGGACCCUGCAAUGAUACACUCUGCCCUAAGCAUUACUCUGGGAAUUGACUUCAUGGUGGGAAAAAAAGCAGUGAAAAAAGGACAAGUGGAGAAAGAAAGUACAUUGUAUUUUACAUUACAAAAUUUGAACCCAAAGAGGCACCAUUUUGGAACAUACUGCAGUUUACUCAUUUUUGUGGUAUAAUCUGUGGGAAAAAGGGAAGAGAAAAUGAGAGUUUAAUGGUUAAUAUAGCAUCAUAGUGAGCUACAUUAGAAAGUAGAGAUGGUAUAUUGUUGUUUUUUUUUUUGUGGAAUUUUGAUUGAAUCAUUAGAAGUCAAGAUGCAAAUGAGUAGUGUAAUGUUUUCUGUUAGAACUGCUGUUUUUUUUUUUACACAGAUUCAUUAUUUUAGGUCUGCUAGGUUAUUUUAUGGAGUUCUGCACUUCAGGUAUUCCAGCCAGGUCUGUGUCCCCAGCUGAGAACUCCAGUGGUUUGCGUAGAAAGGUAAGAAAUACAGCAUGUUCCAUGAGGUUUGUGGAGAACACCAAAUGCCUGUUAACCAGAUCAGGUCAAAGCAAAACUCAAAUGAGUGCAUUUUCUGAAUGUUUCUACUGUAUGAUCUUAAGAUGAAAUUAAUUGGUGAAAGAUUUCAGGUGUCAGAUACACCAGCACUCUUGGGACCAGAAGAUCUAAUGAAAGUUAUUUAUCUUUGAUGGUCAUGGGGGUCUACAACCUAUCUUAUUGGAUGCAAUCUUUAGCUGAAAUUUUCUACGAUGAUAAGGCAUUUGGGUUUGUUGUUGUUUCUCCUGCUAUGAUGGUUUUCAGCAUCUCUGAGUGUCAGCUUUUGUUAUGGGCUUUUCUCUGCCAACGCAGUUAUGGGAUAUUUUCCUACAGGGUAUUCAACUGCUUUUGCUUAGCCUGUAGGAACUUACUGGAGACUUUUUUAACUUUUGACACAUUUUGAAUGAAAUUUGCCAAUGAUUUUUCUUUCAUUAGAAAAUUUGGCUAAUACUGUAGAUUAAAAUAAAUAACAGCAAUAAACUUGAUUCAUGUUGAAGUUCUACUACAUGUUGCAAAACUCAUAUCGCAGGUUAGCUCUAAUGCACUCUGUUAUAGCGUGAGCCUUGUAACAAGCUACCUAUUAUCGCUGAGAAAAUGUCAUCAGCUUCCAUCAAAUGUGAGGAUCUUAUCUAGGGCUUCCAACUGUAGCUCACUUUUUUGUGUGUGUGACAGAUUUAGAACAGUAUGAAGGUGUUAUAAAAACCCAGAGAGCCAUCCAUUCAGCACGUUUUUAGAUGGAAUCCUUAGAAAGAAAUAAAAUGUUUUUAAAUUUUCAUUCCCUUUACCUAGCUAGAGCUGUUGAUUGUUUCUGAUAUGUUUAUGUUACAGCUGUUCUGUAAAGACAGACAAAAUGCUCUGUAAUGGUUUUCAAAAGUUCCAUAACAUUUUUCUUCAGCCUGGCACUGUUUAUAUGUUGUCUUGUCUGCUUAUUGCAUCAGGAUGUCCAGAAGAAAAUAACACAGGCAGAAUUGGAUGUCAGGUAAUCAUCAGUAUGAAAAUGGUUUUUUGUUUGUUUGUUUUUUAAUUUCCCUGAAGAAAAUCUACUUGGGAAAAUCAGUAGCAAAACUUUUUUGUCAGUGAAUGUCACUGCUGUGAAACCGGUGCUUUGGUUAAUGUUGAAAUUGGCUUCAGGUGUUAAUGGCAUGAAAUAGCUUACAGAAGAACAUAACACAAGCCUUCUCCAGCUCUUAAUUUACUUUCAUAUGAGAGUACAAGCAAGAGAAAUAGUGCUGAAAACACAGAACUUAUCUUUCUCUACUCAUCGCUCCUUUUCUUCAUCAGUGUUGCUCUGAAGAACUGUUGGUUUAGCAAUUGGGGUGAGAGGACCGUUGUCCCUUAAACACCUGGCAUUUGGAGGCUUCUAAAGUAUACCAUGAAAAGCAAACAAAAUCUGAAGGUAAGCAAGCACUGAAAUAGGAUUUUAAAGUGAAGAAACAAAGAGAUUUUCCCUUACUCACCUGAGUAGUUCCUGGUGUUUCAGAGCUUGGAAACGCACCCAGGGGUUUGUAUUUGUAAUCUUGCUGUGGUCCUGAUCAAAGAGAAAGACUCACCUCUAUAAGCCUCCAUGCAGGCUGGAAUCCUAUGCAAGAAAUGAAGUCAAAAAGCUAUCUGAAGCACAGAAGAGAAUGGUUACUUCUAUUGAUAGAAAAAACUAAUAAUAAUAAAAUGAAAAUGUGGCUUUUAUAAAAAAUGGUCUUGGUAACUAUUAUAUGUGCCUUGCAGGAAAUGGAGAGUUAAUGUGAAGAAAUAGAUCACUGCUUUGCAAAAUAUCUGUGUGUUUUUCUGAUUAUUAGUACAACAUUUUUGUCUGGAAUUUAUUAAUCCUUUGGAAAUCUGUGCAGGUAAGAAGUGUUGGAAAAGAGUAUUGCCCUCUUUGGGCUAAUAUUCUCCUCAGCUGUUUGAGGAGCAGAGCUCUCAUUGAUAUCUAUGGUGUUCCUCACCAGUUGGCAGUCAUUCCGGUGGUGAUCAGUCAGUGAGCUCUGUUCCUUAAUGAGCAAAAUAUAUAGAUCUCAAUUUAUAAUUUAGAACACGUAAUUCAAAGUGAGAGGGAAAUUAUUCUGGCUAUAAGAAGAAAGCUCUUAUGUUGCAAAGAGAAACAGAAAUCUACCCUAAACAAGGAGAAAUAUCUGCUCUUCCAUUUCUUAUGUGCAAGCCUUGAGCCAAAAAGUAUGCAGUAGUGCAAGCAGCUGCUUUGAGGCUCCUCAAGGAAGCACUGUAAAGUUGCCUUUGUGUCAGAAAAGGUAUUAUUUUCAGUAGCUGUUCCCUGGAGCUUUAUCUGUCCAACAGUCUGUUGCACUCCUGUAACUCUGACUGCACUGUUCUAUCCAGAAUAUACACAAGUUAUAGCUCAUAAAACACAAUUUUGUUGCUAAUGACAUCAUGCAGGAAACAUAUUUUAAAAGCAAUGUUGAAAACUAUUUGUGUUGUGCACUCAAGCUGCAUUUGACUGUUAGAAUCCACCCAAUAUAAAUGUCUGCAGAAGCCACUCUGCAGAUCUUCAGUGCAGGCGUGCGCGCCCUGUCCCAAUUUGAAUUGAUCCUGCAGUGCUGGUUACUAUACCACCAGCUCUUUGGGAGCACAGUUGGAUGGUGAUUUCAUCCAAUAACGGGUGAGAGAGACAAACUAGAGGGGAAGAAAAAGACAAGACAGUGCCAGAUACGAAUAUAUUUUCUAAAAGACCAGACAAGGCUUUGAGGAAUUCCUGUGUAAACGUACUCCGUGAUCCUUUUGUUUGCCCACUUCUGAAAACUGUUCUUUUUCUGGUACAGAUAACUGUGCAAGGGACAGUUCAUGAUUCCAUGCCUUGAGCAAUACCUCACAGAUGGGAUCUUAAGAGAAGAAAAUAGAUCUUUUCUGAUACUGGCUGACCCUACCAUACCAUGAGUAAGAACAAGCCAAAAGUCUGCAUGUCCACACAUCUCCUCACCCUCCACAGGAAGAUAUCGGGACAAACCUUCUUAAGAAGCAUUUUGUAUAAGUUGCCUUGUUGCCAAUCGUGAAUCUUCAGAACUGUCUGCCAAAUGCCUGACACUGAAGUGAUUUAAGACCUGCAUUAGAUCAGCUUCAACUGAGUGUAGCAUGCUGCCCUGGGAGGGUGACUGCUCAAUGAGCAUUCCCCUGGCUCUGAGAAGUGAGAAAAAUAAGUUCUGUUAAAAGAAAGAAUUAAUAGUAAUUUGAAUUGAGAAGCCUAAAUCCUGCCCAGACAUACACUCAGAACAAGUUCAGAGCUCAGAAUGCCGCAGUAAUGCAUAUCAAACUUUCUUUCACAUAAACUCCUCGAAACAUCAGGAUGAAAUGGUUAUCAGGAUUCUGAAGGACUAAGGUCUUCAUGUGUAGUGCUAACAGUUAAAAAGAAGGAAAAGCAACCAAAUUGCCCCUAGUCUGCUCAAGAGCCUGUCACUGCUUCCUAAG
rnacentral:lncRNA from 1 species